GACGAACGCUGGCGGCGUGCUUAACACAUGCAAGUCGAACGGAAAGGCCCUGCUUUUGUGGGGUGCUCGAGUGGCGAACGGGUGAGUAACACGUGAGUAACCUGCCCUUGACUUUGGGAUAACUUCAGGAAACUGGGGCUAAUACCGGAUAGGAGCUCCUGCUGCAUGGUGGGGGUUGGAAAGUUUCGGUGGUUGGGGAUGGACUCGCGGCUUAUCAGCUUGUUGGUGGGGUAGUGGCUUACCAAGGCUUUGACGGGUAGCCGGCCUGAGAGGGUGACCGGCCACAUUGGGACUGAGAUACGGCCCAGACUCCUACGGGAGGCAGCAGUGGGGAAUAUUGCACAAUGGGCGGAAGCCUGAUGCAGCAACGCCGCGUGCGGGAUGACGGCCUUCGGGUUGUAAACCGCUUUCGCAUGUGACGAAGCGUGAGUGACGGUAAUGGGUAAAGAAGCACCGGCUAACUACGUG
rnacentral:rRNA from 1 species